rnacentral:rRNA from 1 species
UACGUAGGGGGCGAGCGUUGUCCGGAUUUAUUGGGCGUAAAACGCUUGUAGGCGGCCACCGCGCGUCGGCUGUGAAAUCUCCCGGCUCAACUGGGAGGGGUCAGGCGAUACGGCGGGGCUCGAGGCAGGUAGGGGGAAGCGGAAUUCCCGGUGUAGUGGUGGAAUGCGCAGAUAUCAGGAGGAACACCGAUGGCGAAGGCAGGUCUCUGGGCAUUAACUGACGCUGAGGAGCGAAAGCAUGGGGAGCGAACAGG